UGACUCCAAAGCAAGGAAGAGCCAUGCAAAGCGAGAGGAAAAACAGGACUUUACAGCAUCUCAAUUAAUUGACCUCAAAGGUUGAGGACUUCUUAAGAGCGAUGUCCUCCUCUGUUGCCUCCGUGGAAUUUAUGUGUACUUGCAACAGCCAGUUGCCUCCCCUUAAGUGUAAGGGAGCUGCAUAAGCAUCUGUCCUAAGCCUUUAGUGUCUCCAGCAAUGAGCAGCAGAAGACAUCACCCUGAAGGCAGUUUGCCACCCAUGGAGAUGAUCUGACUGAUGAACUUCCAUGGGCUCCACUGGGAUGGGAGUCACUGGCAGCAGAGAGGUCGUCUAAGAAAGGAACAUCCUGACAAGUUGACAAGAGAGAAGAGCUUGAAGCUGGAGCUUCCCUGGUUGCUCAUAUUCCUGGGAUGGAAGGCGGCAGCGGGCAGCGCUCUCCUGGGCAUUUAUGCCAUACU